rnacentral:rRNA from 1 species
AACGAACGCUGGCGGCGUGGAUAAGACAUGCAAGUCGAACGGGAUUUUGUUCUGUAGCAAUACAGGAAAAAGUCUAGUGGCGAACGGGUGCGUAACACGUGAGCAACCUGCCGUGAAGUGGGGGAUAGCUCGCCGAAAGGCGAAUUAAUACCGCAUGUGGCCAAGGAAGACAUCUUCCUGACGCCAAAGCCGGGGCAACCUGGCGCUUCUCGAGGGGCCCGCGGCCUAUCAGCUUGUUGGGGAGGUAACGGCUCACCAAGGCUAUGACGGGUAGCUGGUCUGAGAGGACGACCAGCCACACUGGAACUGAGGCACGGUCCAGACACCUACGGGUGGCAGCAGUCGAGAAUUUUUCACAAUGGGGGAAACCCUGAUGGAGCGACGCCGCGUGGAGGAUGAAGGUUUUCGGAUUGUAAACUCCUGUCAUUAGAGAACAAGGCACACGGUUUAACUGGCCGUGUGUUGAUAGUAUCUGAAGAGGAAGAGACGGCUAACUCUGUGCCAGCAGCCGCGGUAA